rnacentral:sRNA from 1 species
AGAGCAGAUCAGAGGCAGGGGAAAACCACGCAGAAGCAGGAGCUGAAGACCUCAGACCGGCACCAGGGACAGCUUAAUGAAGACAAACUGAAGGGGAAACUGAGAUCCUUAGAAAACCAGCUGUACACCUGUACCCAGAAAUACUCCCCUUGGGGAAUGAAAAAAGUACUACUGGAGAUGGAAGACCAGAAAAACAGCUAUGAGCAGAAGGCCAAGGAGUCACUGCAGAAAGUGCUGGAGGAGAAAAUGAAUGCAGAGCAGCAACUACAGAGCACACAGGUAUGGGGAUGCCACAUAGACAUGGGGCUGAGGACUCCAGACAGCUUGGGGAACAAGGAAGCCAGCUGCACAACUCCCUGGAACUCUCUCCUCUCUGAUCUCCACCAGCGAUCCCUGGCCCUGGCAGAGCAGAAGUGUGAAGAGUGGAGGAGCCAGUAUGAGGCUCUGAAGGAGGACUGGAGGACCCUUGGGACCCAGCACAGGGAGCUGGAGAGCCAACUCCACGUGCUUCAGUCCAAACUGCAGGUACCAGGCACUGGGGGUGGGGAGGGAAGACAGGGUAUGGGGAGGAGGGAUGGUGAUGAAAGAAGCUAUUCUGGAUUAGGGACUCCAAAGACAGCUGACAGCAUCUGGCUUUCAGUACCUCAGUCACCACUACUUUGUACCAAAUUCACUGUUUUGGCUCUGAAAUCUAAUUUUGAGUUUAGCAAGGAUGUCUGCAUUGCUCAUGCAAAUGAACUAAGCGUUCAUUGGAAUGACACCAUCACCACCCAAAUGAAAAGAACUGGCUGGAAUAUUCAUCAGCCUACUAAUGUCAUCUCCCAACCCACUCUCCAAAAUCCAUCCCAAAAAAGCAUCCAGUUCAGAAUUGCUCACUGUUGGCACAGAAAGAAUGUCACUAAUUUAUUUACAGGUGAGUACUAACACUUUCUGCCAAUGUGUUUUUUAAGCAAUUAUAUUUAGCAAUUACAAUUAUACUCUUGGCAUCCUCAAGGGUUCCAUCAUCUUCAAUCUGUCCUAAGCCUCAGUUUCCCCAUCUCUAAAAUGAGGAUAAUAGUACCUACAUCAUAAGGUGGUUCUGAGUAUUAAGUAAGACGAUCCAUGUAAAGCACUUAGCACAAUGCCUGGCACAUAAAAGCACUCAGUAAAUAUUAGCUAUUAUUUUGCAUAGAUUUAUUUACCUGGUUUGGAAUUUUGAGGAUCCACCUCAAAAGCUGAUCUUUGUAAUUUUCCUGAAGCAGGGCUCAGAACAGCCCAUUUGAUAAGAGACAGAGUAUGUGAGUCUUAUCAAAGGAGUGAACCCAGCUGGUCACUCUGCGUGGUAUCCACAUCUCAACCUUUGUUGUUCUCUUCUUCCCAUUACCUAUAAGGCAACUCCUAUGAAGAUUUUUGUGGGGGGUUUUUUAACUUUGAAUCUUUGUGGAAAAAAAAAGACCCUAACCAAAAAAAAAUUGAUACUGCCAGAAGAAGAAAAAAGAGAAAACGAAACCAUCUAGAAAACUAAUGACUUCGUAUUCCUUAAUUUGGUGAUUUACCGAAGUGUCAAGACAUGAGUCCCACACCAAUGACAACCACUUACAUUUCCCCUAGAAUGGCAGAUUUUUUAAAGUACUGGGUUUCCUAAAGCAAUUCUUAUUUUAUAUAUUCUAAUUUAUGUAAAUGAAUGUGUCACUUAGACCUGUCACUAGAGAUGGUUUAGAAAAUAAACUUACACUACACAUGCCUCAGUCCACUUCAAAACUACUGGCACAUGCCUGUAGUCCCAGCUACUCAGAAGGCUAAGGUGGGAGGAUUGCCUGAGCCCAAGAGGUCGAGGCUGCAAUGAGCUAUGAUGGCACCACUGCACUCCAGUCUGGGUGAAAAAGUGAGACCCCCAUCUCUAAAUAUAAAAAAAAAAAUAAAAGACACGAGUUCCUUGUGAAUAUCAAAAGUCUAAUCUGCUGUUAUAAAUGUGAGGAACAAAGCAAAGGGAAGAAUAGGAAAAAAGAAAGAUUUCUCUAUUUUCUCAUCUCCCUAACAUUCCAUCUCUAAAAUUCCAGAAUUUUCUAUAUUUUCCUCUUCCAUGGUACCCGCCCCCCAACCUCCACCCCAACACUGACCUCCUUCUAUAUCGGCCCCUCCUCCUCCUUACAGGGAGCAGAUAGCAGGGACUUACAGAUGAACCAGGCCCUGCGAUUUUUGGAAAAUGAGCACCAGGAACUGCAGGCCAAGAUUGAAUGCCUGCAAGGGGACAGAGACCUGUGCAGCUUGGAUACCCAGGACCUACAAGGUACUCUUCUCCUUGGAGGCCUUGGGCACAUGGCAGCCAUGGCCAAGUGAGCUAAGAAAAAAGAAACUGAGUUAAGAGAAAGGCUUCAGCCUUUUAUUUGUUUGCUUGAUUUGGUUGAUUGGCUUUAUAGUCUCAUUUUACCUUGAGGGAGAGGCAGGACUGUUUUAAUCAUCCAAAAUUGAAAAUUAAUUUCACUGUACUCGAUAGAGUAUCUUGUUGUCUGAGCUCUCUUUUUUAGCCCAUCCCUCUGGGCCAGAUCACAGCUGCUCCCACAUCAGUCACAUAUGGCAAGGCCACAGUCCUAAUUUGAAAGGGAAAGGUCAGUUGAAACACAAGGCAUAGAGAAAGUCUCUCAGUCACACCCUCUGUGUCCGCUGAUAGAGAGGACUAGAUAGUGUGUAAACACAAGCCUCAAUGCAACCCAACAUUGUUGAUGCACAAAACCUGAGGUACUUGGCUUCUGGUUUACCUCUUCAGAACUGGGACACGAAGACAGAGCAACUUCCAACAGACACAUGUUAAAGGCCACGACAAGACAGCAUCUAUUACUAAUUUCCAUCCUUAAGUACUGAGUUCAUUAAGUCUUGGGUUCCUUUAUUUUGGCUUGCAUUAUUGCAUUUUCAGGUCAACUAAAAAGGUCAGAGGCGGAGAAACUCACCCUGGUGACCAGAGUACAGCAGUUGCAGAGUUUGCUUCAGAAUCAAUCCUUACAGCUUCAAGAACAGGAGAAACUCUUAACAAAGAAAGGUCAGCAAAUUUAUCACCACAAAUUCUAAGAUAUUGCUCUUCCCUUACCUGCCUAGAGGCAGCGGGAUGGACUACAUGACCUCCUGGAGUCUCAGCCAGUUCUGGGAGUCUGUUAAGUCUGGGAUGUGUGGGAGCUUUUUAAGGACUGACCAUUGGCUCUGAGGACACUUCAACUAGUUAGCCUUCUAUCCUGAGGUAUAUAAACUGUGAAAAAGGGUUUCUAUUCUCUUUGAAAGCACAUGUCUGUGUUGAACAUUUCAAUAAAUUUAUUUUGAACUC